rnacentral:rRNA from 1 species
GACGAACGCUGGCGGCGUGCUUAACACAUGCAAGUCGAACGGUGAAGGGAUCAGCUUGCUGGUUCUGGAUGAGUGGCGAACGGGUGAGUAACACGUGAGUAACCUGCCCCCUUCUUCUGGAUAACCGCAUGAAAGUGUGGCUAAUACGGGAUAUUCUGCGCCUGCUGCAUGGUGGGUGUGGGAAAGAUAUUGUUUCGGUGGGGGAUGGGCUCGCGGCCUAUCAGCUUGUUGGUGGGGUGAUGGCCUACCAAGGCGGUGACGGGUAGCCGGCCUGAGAGGGGGGACGGUGACACUGGGACUGAGACACGGCCCAGACACCUACGGGAGGCAGCAGUGGGGAAUAUUGCACAAUGGGCGCAAGCCUGAUGCAGCGACGCCGCGUGAGGGAUGGAGGCCUUCGGGUUGUGAACCUCUUUCGCCAGUGAAGCAGGCCUGUCCCUUGUGGGUGGGUUGACGGUAGCUGGAUAAGAAGCGCCGGCUAACUACGUG